rnacentral:rRNA from 1 species
UACGAAGGGGGGCUAGCGUUGCUCGGAAUCACUGGGCGUAAAGGGUGCGUAGGCGGGUCUUUAAGUCAGGGGUGAAAUCCUGGAGCUCAACUCCAGAACUGCCUUUGAUACUGAAGAUCUUGAGUUCGGGAGAGGUGAGUGGAACUGCGAGUGUAGAGGUGAAAUUCGUAGAUAUUCGCAAGAACACCAGUGGCGAAGGCGGCUCACUGGCCCGAACUAGUGACGCUGAGGAGAACGCGACGGG